UGUUUAGGUUUCACAACAGUGACCAAGAUUCAUUAUGCAAUGAAAGAAGACAUGAAACUCUGAAAUACAUUAGAUAAAGAUUUAGAGAAGAUGCACAUGAUCUAACAGCUACUUUUUGCCUACUUUAGCUGCAUAUAAAGAUAAUGCUAUCAGAAAAUAUUCUGUUUCAAACAGUUCAGAAGCAGAUUUUGGAUUAUUUUUCCUUUUCGUUUUCCUGUUUAGUACGUAUCGAUGUCAAAUACAAUUAGGAUUUCAUUCCUUUUGUGGUUGGAUGUUUGUUUCUUAACAUACAACAAUCUGUUCUGAGCAUUUCUUACAUGUCUAUUGUUGAGCAGACAACAUUUGACUUCGGAUUUUUGGCUCUACUGGCUGUUGGAGGUUCAUUGGCUGGUUCACUAUUGUGCUUUCUCAAUGUAAUUUCUCUUUCCAUAUGUUCUGUAUUCUUACUUGAGGAGAAAAAAUAAAUGCCUUGAGGUCUUCAACUCUGAACAUAUCAAUGGUUGUGUUUAAUGGGGUAGUUGUGUCAAAGGGCAUCACACUGGACAAAUGGUUCUGCGACUAGUUGAAUCAAUUGAUAUUUAUCUUGCUGGAACUGUCAUGUUAAUAUUUGCUAUGGGAUUAUAUGGAUUAUUUAUCAAUAAUGUGCCUAACGAUGUGCCUUCCAGCGCUGAUCGUUCUUUGAAGGGAUCUUCUUUGUUUGGAAUGUUUGCUUUGAAGGUAAUCUUAAUUCCCUUCCCUGCAAUUAUAAUUGGCAAAUGUUUCUCAGACCUUCACAGCGAUUAACAGAUGCUAACAGAAUAUAUUGUUCUCCAUUGACAUUUGACAUUGCUAUCCGGCGACCUCUAAAUGGAGAACUUCUGAUUGAAAUACUUGCAAUGAGAACUCAUAAAAGUUGUCUAGUAGCAUAUAAUUUCUAGACUAUAAUAUCAAGUACACUAAAUCUUGCUCUGUGUCAUAGGAAGAGGCACAAAGUGAGACAAUUAUUAUGAUUAGAUCAUGUAGGAUAUGGACUCAAAAUCAAUGAAUAUGUUUCCAUGGCACUUGCAUGGUAUUUACAACCUACAUUACAUCCUUACUGGCAUUAUUUUCUGGUUUUCUUUCGCCGACAGAAUGAAGUCCUUAUUUAUUUAAAGUGGAUAUCAUUUUUCUUCCCCAUUUUUCCUCUCUGAAGUUAUGCAAGAUUCUCUAGCUGCUUUCGGAUAAGAGAUGCACUCUUGAUAUAUGUCUUAACAGUGGUUGUGGACAUCUCUAGCUGUUUUUUGGCCAAUAGAUGCUCCGGUUGCUAAGGGCUUGUACACCAAGGUUGACUUUGCUUGGCAGUUGGCAGAACUUGGAAGUCUUUGUUUGGAAGAAGUGGGACUAGGCCAUGUGACAAAGUUAUUGAGUAGAGGACGUCUUUGGUAGAUGAUUUUGUAGCAAAGGUCUUUGUUAUGUACUGCAGAAUAGAGCCAGAGAUUUUAAACCUUUUGAUCUAGAAAACAGAGAGAUAGCAAGUGAUGUAAUGAAAUGGAGAAGAUGAAUAAACAGACUAGUCUUUUUUCACAGAGAAACUUAGGUGGCAACUAUCUAAGCACCUUAAGGAACCAGACGCACAUGGAACAUU